rnacentral:rRNA from 1 species
CCUACGUGUGGCAGCAGUGGGGAAUAUUGGUCAAUGGGGGAAACUCUGAUCCCGCGACGCCGCGUGAGUGAAGACGUAUUUCGGUACGUUAAGCUCUUUCAGCAGGAAAGAAAAUGACGGUACCUGACUAAGAAGCCCCGGCUAACUACGUGCCAGCAGCCGCGGUAAGACGUAGGGGGCAAGCGUUAUCCGGAUUUACUGGGUGUAAAGGGAGCGUAGACGGCAUCGCAAGUCAGGAGUGAAAUGCCGGUGCCCAACCCCGGAACUGCUCUGGAAACUGUGAAGCGAGAGUGCAGAUGAGGUAAGCGGAAUGCAUGGUGUAGCGGUGAAAUGCGUAGAUAUCAGGAGGAACACCGGCGGCGAAGGCGGAUUACUGGACUGUAACUGACGUUGAGGCUCGAAGGCGUGGGGAGCAAACAGGAUUAGAUACCCGGGUAGUC